GACGAACGCUGGCGGCGUGCCUAAUACAUGCAAGUAGAACGCUGAAGGAGGAGCUUGCUCUUCUGGAUGAGUUGCGAACGGGUGAGUACCGCGUAGGUAACCUGCCUGGUAGCGGGGGAUAACUAUUGGAAACGAUAGCUAAUACCGCAUAACAGUAGAUGUUGCAUGACAUUUGCUUAAAAGGUGCAAUUGCAUCACUACCAGAUGGACCUGCGUUGUAUUAGCUAGUUGGUGGGGUAACGGCUCGCCAAGGCGACGAUACAUAGCCGACCUGCGAGGGUGUACGGCCACACUGAGACUGAGACCAGGCACAGACUCCAACGGGGGGAAGCAGUAGGGAAUCUUCGGCAAUGGGCGGAAGUCUGAACGAACAACGCGGCGAGAGUGAAGAGGGUGUUCGGAUCGUAAAGCUCUGUUGUAAGAGAGGAAUGAGUGUGCGAAUGGAAAGUUCACUCUGUGACGGUAUCUUACCAGAAAGGGACGGCUAACUACGUG
rnacentral:rRNA from 1 species